GGCCCCGGGGUGUGACACGUGUGGUUGCAAACCUCAAGACGCAGGGUGAUACCUGCCGGGGCUU
rnacentral:tRNA from 1 species